AAAUUAGGCAUUGAGCUCUCUCACCUGUGUAGAAGCGAACUUCAAAUAGUAUGGGCAUCAAAUUUGAGGAUUAUAUAUAAAAUGGGAUAUGAGGAGAUUAGGCUCCUCUGGAUUUGCUAUGGACUUUGACAUUGAGAUUAGGAGGCGUAUCAUGCCACGUUUACUAGUGGAAAAUCAAUUUCAGCAAUAACUAUUUAAUAGGAGUGGUGGAAAUCCUUCAUCUUGACGAUUGUAACAAUAACGGAGCAUAUGUUCGUUCUUUCUCUGGUCCAUCUUCUACUCAUGUUUCAUAUGUUUAAUUGAAACUGAACAUAAAUAUCUUCAUUUGAAUUCCAUGUCUUUCCAUACAGAGCCUCAAGCUUCCCUUUGUCUAACAGUUGCAAAUGUGAUGAUGUGUAGGAGAAAGCUCUUACCAUGGGGAUUCUGCUAGUAACUCUUGCUGUUUGGUUGGUGUUUGAGAAAUCUGGCUAUACACUUCUAUCACUUGUGUUCUGUUGCCCCUAGUUGUCAUUCUUUUCCCCUGGGCCAAAUCUGCGGAAAUUGUACAUCGGUAACCUACAAUGAUGUCCGAUGUUUUUUAUGCUUCUUUGCUAUAGAUGGAUACCGGCGCUUGUUCCUACUAAAGCAUGAGACAAGUAAAGCAAUUUAAGACAAUUGGUUGUGGGCUACAUGCACCGUGGUUUAACUGUAUAACGGAUUUUAGUUA